rnacentral:rRNA from 1 species
GACGAACGCUGGCGGCGUGCUUAACACAUGCAAGUCGAACGGAAAGGCCCUGCUUUUGUGGGGUGCUCGAGUGGCGAAAGGGUGAGUAACACGUGAGUAACCUGCCCUUGACUUUGGGAUAACUUCAGGAAACUGGGGCUAAUACCGGAUAGGAGCUCCUGCUGCAUGGUGGGGGUUGGAAAGUUUCGGCGGUUGGGGAUGGACUCGCGGCUUAUCAGUUUGUUGGUGGGGUAGUGGCUUACCAAGGCUUUGACGGGUAGCCGGCCUGAGAGGGUGACCGGCCACAUUGGGACUGAGAUAGGGCCCAGACUGCUACGGGAGGCAGCAGGGGGGAAUAUUGCACAAUGGGCGGAAGCCUGAUGCAGCGACGCCGCGUGCGGGAUGACGGCCUUCGGGUUGUAAACCGCUUUCGCCUGUGACGAAGCGUGAGUGACGGUAAUGGGUAAAGAAGCAACGGCUAACUACGUG